rnacentral:rRNA from 1 species
UACGGGGGGGCAAGCGUUGUUCGGAAUUACUGGGCGUAAAGGGCUUGUAGGUGGCCAACUAAGUCAGACGUGAAAUCCCUCGGCUUAACCGGGGAACUGCGUCUGAUACUGGAUGGCUUGAGUGUGGGAGAGGGAUGCGGAAUUCCAGGUGUAGCGGUGAAAUGCGUAGAUAUCAAGAGGAACACCUGAGGUGAAGACGGGUUGCUGGGCCGACACUGACGCUGAUGCGCGAAAGCCAGGGGAGCAAACGGG